UACGAAGGGAGCUAGCGUUGUUCGGAAUCACUGGGCGUAAAGCGCACGUAGGCGGAUGUGUCAGUCAGGGGUGAAAUCCCGGAGCUCAACUUCGGAACUGCCUUUGAUACAGCACGUCUUGAGUCCGAUAGAGGUGGGUGGAAUUCCUAGUGUAGAGGUGAAAUGCGCAGAUAUCAGGAAGAACACCCGUGGCGAAGGCGGCUCUCUGGGACGGUACUGACGCUGAGACGCGAAAGCGUGGGGAGCGAACAGG
rnacentral:rRNA from 1 species